GACGAACGCUGGCGGCGUGCUUAACACAUGCAAGUCGAACGGAAAGGCCCUGCUUGCAGGGUACUCGAGUGGCGAACGGGUGAGUAACACGUGGGUGAUCUGCCCUGCACUUCGGGAUAAGCCUGGGAAACUGGGUCUAAUACCGGAUAGGAGCCAUUUUUAGUGUGAUGGUUGGAAAGUUUUUUCGGUGUAGGAUGAGCUCGCGGCCUAUCAGCUUGUUGGUGGGGUAAUGGCCUACCAAGGCGGCGACGGGUAGCCGGCCUGAGAGGGUGGACGGCCAUAUUGGGACUGAGAUACGGCCCAGACUCCUACGGGAGGCAGCAGUGGGGAAGAUUGCACAAUGGGCGCAAGCCUGAUGCAGCGACGCCGCGGGGGGGAUGACGGCCUUCGGGUUGUAAACUCCUUUCGCUAGGGACGAAGCUUUUUGUGACGGUACCUAGAGAAGAAGCACCGGCUAACUACGUG
rnacentral:rRNA from 1 species